ACGUGAGCACGAUGAACUGAUACCGUACUGAUCGAUCGUCGUCAGAUCGUCGACUACCGUAGCAUCGCUAGGAUCGCGCAGCUAUCAGCAUGACGGUCGCAUCGCGAGCAUCGAUAUCGAUGCACGAGACUUACUGGCUGACAGUCCGACGAUCAGGAUGGAUGCGUCGGGCGGUCCAGUAGUGCAUGUCGUCGUCAGCUCGGUCGGAGAUGUCGGUUAGUCCGCAACGAGCGCAACCUCGCCCCGUGUUGCAGCGAUGAGCUGGAACUCACGGGACCGCGGGGUAACUCGAGAAGGUGGGAUACGUCAGAUCAUCAUGCCCUUCGUCCAGGGCUCAGCAUGUACAAUGCUCGUACACGGGAUGCGCUGCGCGAGCUGAGCGAUCCCGAAACCCGUCUCAGUUCGGAUCGCAGUCUCAACUCGACUGCGGGAGGCGGAGUCGCUAGUAUCGCGAAUCAGCAACGGCGCCGUUGAUGCGGUUCCGGGCCUUGUACACCCCGCCCGUCAAGUCAAGAAAAUUGGCAACACCCGAAACCGGUGGCCUUACCCCCUGCGGGAAGGAACCGUUUAAGGUGAGGCUUGUGAUUGGGGCUAAAUUGUAACCAGGUAACCGUUCCGGAAGGUGCGGCCGGAUCCCCUCCCUUUUUCGGAGAAUUCGGCCGGAAGUUUCUCCGGCGGUGCGUGCCCCGGGGUCGCGGCCGUCGCGGCGGUUUGGGGGUGGUGGUGUGGAAGAGAUCAUGGGCUUUCGGUGCCUUCGUUGUGGGAUGUUUCCCGGGAAGGGUGGGGAUGCCCUUUUGGGCUUCCGGAUUCCCCCCCCCGGCCUUGGGCCUGGCGCGAUUCGAUGCCCAUCGUGCCUGAUGGCGGGCUGGUCCCGUCCGGACGGCGUGGUGGUGCGUGGUGGCUUGAGAACUGGAUAGUGGACGCGAGCAAGACGGGGUUUCCUUUGAUUCCUCGUUCUUGCUGUUGAUUUCGAAUCGAACUCUAUUUUUAGUGUUUGUUUCGAUCGUUUUGUGAUCAUUUUAGUGUGAUGAUUUGUCGUCUGGGAAUUUGCUAGGAAGGAUCCUUGCGGCCAUGCGCACCGUGUGGGCCG
rnacentral:misc_RNA from 1 species